CCUACGGGUGGCAGCAGUGGGGAAUAUUGGACAAUGGGCGAAAGCCUGAUCCAGCCAUGCCGCGUGUGUGAAGAAGGCCUUCGGGUUGUAAAGCACUUUCAGUGGGGAAGAAAGCCUUGGGGCUAAUACCCUCGAGGAAGGACAUCACCCACAGAAGAAGCACCGGCUAACUCCGUGCCAGCAGCCGCGGUAAUACAGGAGGGUGCGAGCGUUAAUCGGAAUUACUGGGCGUAAAGCGCGCGUAGGCGGUCUGAUAAGCCGGUUGUGAAAGCCCCGGGCUCAACCUGGGAACGGCAUCCGGAACUGUCAGGCUAGAGUGCAGGAGAGGAAGGUAGAAUUCCCGGUGUAGCGGUGAAAUGCGUAGAGAUCGGGAGGAAUACCAGUGGCGAAGGCGGCCUUCUGGACUGACACUGACGCUGAGGUGCGAAAGCGUGGGUAGCAAACAGGAUUAGAUACCCUGGUAGUC
rnacentral:rRNA from 1 species